UACGGAGGGGGCUAGCGUUGUUCGGAAUUACUGGGCGUAAAGCGCGCGUAGGCGGCUUUGUAAGUUAGAGGUGAAAGCCCGGAGCUCAACUCCGGAAUUGCCUUUAAGACUGCAUCGCUUGAAUCCGGGAGAGGUGAGUGGAAUUCCGAGUGUAGAGGUGAAAUUCGUAGAUAUUCGGAAGAACACCAGUGGCGAAGGCGGCUCACUGGACCGGCAUUGACGCUGAGGUGCGAAAGCGUGGGGAGCAAACAGG
rnacentral:rRNA from 1 species